GAAAAUAUCAUUAGAGCUUGGACUAACGCAUGAUGCAUAUUUCAUUAUUACUCUCAAAAAAUGGAAGGAGAGAUAUUGUACAGAAUUCUUUGUCAGAUGGUCAGUCCGAGCAUCAUCAAGCUAAAAUUAGCCUUCUCUUCUUCGAAAGAACCUUAACUCCUGGGGUUGAGAUUUAACUGAUCCCAAAUGUUUUAAUACCGAGAAGCAUUGCUCGGCCAGCUGGUUAUAUGUGUGAAGUUGACACUGAAGGGGAGAGCAGUGCCAAAUGGUAAUCUUCGUAGCCUUCAGAAAAUAUAUACGCAAGAGACUCAUAGAAUGGCAGAGG
rnacentral:misc_RNA from 1 species